rnacentral:rRNA from 1 species
UACGUAGGGGGCAAGCGUUAUCCGGAUUUACUGGGUGUAAAGGGAGCGUAGACGGCAGUGCAAGUCUGAAGUGAAAGGCAAGGGCUCAACCCUUGGACUGCUUUGGAAACUGUGCUGCUGGAGUGUCGGAGAGGCAAGUGGAAUUCCUAGUGUAGCGGUGAAAUGCGUAGAUAUUAGGAGGAACACCAGUGGCGAAAGCGGCUCUCUGGUCUGUAACUGACGCUGAGGUUCGAAAGCGUGGGUAGCAAACAGG